UACGAAGGGGGCUAGCGUUGCUCGGAAUCACUGGGCGUAAAGCGCACGUAGGCGGAUUGUUAAGUCAGGGGUGAAAUCCUGGAGCUCAACUCCAGAACUGCCUUUGAUACUGGCGAUCUUGAGUCCGGGAGAGGUGAGUGGAACUCCGAGUGUAGAGGUGAAAUUCGUAGAUAUUCGGAAGAACACCAGUGGCGAAGGCGGCUCGCUGGCCCGGUACUGACGCUGAUGUGCGAAAGCGUGGGGAGCAAACAGG
rnacentral:rRNA from 1 species